rnacentral:lncRNA from 1 species
UUCAUCACACACCUAACACCACCACAUUAACAACCACAAGCCCACGAGAAUUGGAAAAAUUGGUCAAACAAAAAUGGAACCGUAAUAGAGAGAUAGAGGAAUCUGAGAGAGACCUCAUCUUCGUCUUCCUCCAAAAUUUUGACUAUCACAGUGAACAGCAACACAAACCCGUUAAAGCCAAAAUCAGAAUCAGAAUUCUUCUACUAAAUCACAACAAAAUCGAAAUCGUUAAAGUCAAAAUCAAUGGAAUUAAUCAAAAGACACAAAGAAGCGACUAAUUUGUCCCCAGAUCUCGUUGCAAAUCAGCGAUGCGAAAAACCUAAGAAGCGAAGAACGAGAAAUAAGAACGAGAAGAUCUAGUUUCAGAUCUGCAAUGCCCGACACCGCCGUCGCCGUCAAUACCAACACCAGCCCGCACCGCCACUGUCGGCAUCUGGAUCGAGACGGAGAAGACCAACGACAACCCGCACUCUCCCUCUGUCUCCUUUCUCGCUCUCCCUGGUUUGGGGAUGGUGUCGUCGGCGGUGGCUGGUGUCGAGUAAGAGAAAGAGAAGAAGAAGAAUC